rnacentral:rRNA from 1 species
CGAAUGCUGACAUAAGUAACGAUAAAGCGGGUGAAAAGCCCGCUCGCCGGAAGACCAAGGGUUCCUGUCCAACGUUAAUCGGGGCAGGGUGAGUCGACCCCUAAGGCGAGGCCGAAAGGCGUAGUCGAUGGGAAACAGGUUAAUAUUCCUGUACUUGGUGUUACUGCGAAGGGGGGACGGAGAAGGCUAUGUUGGCCGGGCGACGGUUGUCCCGGUUUAAGCGUGUAGGCUGGUUUUCCAGGCAAAUCCGGAAAAUCAAGGCUGAGGCGUGAUGACGAGGCACUACGGUGCUGAAGCAACAAAUGCCCUGCUUCCAGGAAAAGCCUCUAAGCAUCAGGUAACAUUAAAUCGUACCCCAAACCGACACAGGUGGUCAGGUAGAGAAUACCAAGGCGCUUGAGAGAACUCGGGUGAAGGAACUAGGCAAAAUGGUGCCGUAACUUCGGGAGAAGGCACGCUGAUAUGUAGGUGAAGUCCCUCGCGGAUGGAGCUGAAAUCAGUCGAAGAUACCAGCUGGCUGCAACUGUUUAUUAAAAACACAGCACUGUGCAAACACGAAAGUGGACGUAUACGGUGUGACGCCUGCCCGGUGCCGGAAGGUUAAUUGAUGGGGUUAGCGGUAACGCGAAGCUCUUGAUCGAAGCCCCGGUAAACGGCGGCCGUAACUAUAACGGUCCUAAGGUAGCGAAAUUCCUUGUCGGGUAAGUUCCGACCUGCACGAAUGGCGUAAUGAUGGCCAGGCUGUCUCCACCCGAGACUCAGUGAAAUUGAACUCGCUGUGAAGAUGCAGUGUACCCGCGGCAAGACGGAAAGACCCCGUGAACCUUUACUAUAGCUUGACACUGAACAUUGAGCCUUGAUGUGUAGGAUAGGUGGGAGGCUUUGAAGUGUGGACGCCAGUCUGCAUGGAGCCGACCUUGAAAUACCACCCUUUAAUGUUUGAUGUUCUAACGUUGACCCGUGAUCCGGGUUGCGGACAGUGUCUGGUGGGUAGUUUGACUGGGGCGGUCUCCUCCUAAAGAGUAACGGAGGAGCACGAAGGUUGGCUAAUCCUGGUCGGACAUCAGGAGGUUAGUGCAAUGGCAUAAGCCAGCUUGACUGCGAGCGUGACGGCGCGAGCAGGUGCGAAAGCAGGUCAUAGUGAUCCGGUGGUUCUGAAUGGAAGGGCCAUCGCUCAACGGAUAAAAGGUACUCCGGGGAUAACAGGCUGAUACCGCCCAAGAGUUCAUAUCGACGGCGGUGUUUGGCACCUCGAUGUCGGCUCAUCACAUCCUGGGGCUGAAGUAGGUCCCAAGGGUAUGGCUGUUCGCCAUUUAAAGUGGUACGCGAGCUGGGUUUAGAACGUCGUGAGACAGUUCGGUCCCUAUCUGCCGUGGGCGCUGGAGAACUGAGGGGGGCUGCUCCUAGUACGAGAGGACCGGAGUGGACGCAUCACUGGUGUUCGGGUUGUCAUGCCAAUGGCACUGCCCGGUAGCUAAAUGCGGAAGAGAUAAGUGCUGAAAGCAUCUAAGCACGAAACUUGCCCCGAGAUGAGUUCUCCCUGACUCCUUGAGAGUCCUGAAGGAACGUUGAAGACGACGACGUUGAUAGGCCGGGUGUGUAAGCGCAGCGAUGCGUUGAGCUAACCGGUACUAAUGAACCGUGAGGCUUAACCUUACAACGCCGAAGGUGUUU